AUGCAAGUAUCACAAAGUAGACCUAGUUAUUGCACAUCUAAAUGACUCAAUAAAGAAUACAAAGUACAAAAAUAUACCCACAUGAAUAUUCGCAUAAUAUCAACGACGUAACACUUAGAUAUGCAAUACUUAUGCACAUCUAGAUGUGAUUUAGCAAAACCGCACAAAGUAAUAUGAGAAAACAUGUGAUCUUAUCUUUUCUUCUUUUUGUGCCUUUAAGAGGAUCUGGUUAUUUUUUUUAUGUUACAAUAUAUUGAACAAAACCCUAAUUCAACACUUGACAUGCUUAGGCUUUAAAAUAAUAUAUGAACUAAGUUGUAAUUAAAAAAACAUGUAAAAGGUAAACUUAAAGUUAGUAUAAAUAAUGAUAUUAAUUUAGAGUGCAACCCAAAAUUUGUUUAUAUUGGUCCUCAUGAUUGAUAGGAUUAUAAGAAACAUGCUACCUUGUAACCCUCCAUAUAGCUCCAUUAAUGGUUGUUGUUCUUCAUUCAUGACCUUUUUGUGACAAAAAACAUGUGGUGAUAAACUGAGCAUCGUUAAUAAAACUAAACAACUUUUUUUGUAGAAUGGUCGUAAAUGUUUAGGACCCAAAUAAAAGAUCAUAUAUUCUAUACCUAAUUGUUUUUGUCACUCCCAAUCUUCUCUGUCCAGUUCAGUUAUCUAUAUAGGCCAAGUUGAAUAAUUCAACACAUUUAUUAUUUUUUCCUAUCAAUUUUGGUCGCCUACAUGGGCCAAGCCCAACAAUUCAACCUUUUUAUUUUCUAGGCCCUGACCAUUUUGGGAUCCAUUUCAUUAAGCCGUUUUCUUCUUCUGUUUUUUUCAAAAUGCACAAUAUUCCAGUCCACUAUUAUUUGGUCCAUAGCCUUUUUAGAGCGCAAAUAGUAGGUCAUGUUCUGUUUGAAGAAUCUUAAAAUCUAGGACUAAAAAAAGGUGAACCAAUUGGAAGGCAACUAGGCUAAAGACAGGGGCUCUCAAACCAUGGGAGAAAACAAAAACAAGGUGUUCAGGUAGCGAGCAGGAAAACACAGGAACUCGUAUCACUAAGAGUUGCUACGAUGAAUAUUUUACCCACAUUUUAUCCAGUCAUAAACUUUCUCUUAUUUCGGCAAUGUACAGUUGCCACGUACCAUUAGCAGCCAUGGGGUGAAAUAUUUUAACCAGGUCAUAGUAUAGCUGCCU
rnacentral:lncRNA from 1 species